rnacentral:piRNA from 1 species
UACCAAUACAAAUGGUGUGGCAGAGGUGU